AUUGAACGCUGGCGGCAUGCCUUACACAUGCAAGUCGAACGGCAGCACGGGAGCAAUCCUGGUGGCGAGUGGCGAACGGGUGAGUAAUAUAUCGGAACGUGCCCAGUCGUGGGGGAUAACGCAGCGAAAGCUGUGCUAAUACCGCAUACGAUCUAUGGAUGAAAGCGGGGGAUCGCAAGACCUCGCGCGAUUGGAGUGGCCGAUAUCAGAUUAGGUAGUUGGUGGGGUAAAGGCUCACCAAGCCGACGAUCUGUAGCUGGUCUGAGAGGACGCACAGCCAACCUAGAACUGAGACACGGUCCAGACUCCUACGGGAGGCAGCAGUGGGGAAUUUUGGACAAUGGGCGCAAGCCUGAUCCAGCAAUGCCGCGUGCAGGAUGAAGGCCUUCGGGUUGUAAACUGCUUUUGUACGGAGCGAAACGGUCUACUCUAAUACAGUUUGCUAAUGACGGUACCGUAAGAAUAAGCACCGGCUAACUACGUGCCAGCCGCCGCCGUAA
rnacentral:rRNA from 1 species